GCCCGGCCGCGGUGGUGGGCGGGAGGAUGGUGGGCGGGCUCCGAGCCCAGCUCCACUGGCCCCGGCCGCGGGGCUCGCCCCUCCGUCCCCAAACGACCGUCUCCGCUGCCAUGAGAUGCCGACAGCCUGUGCGCUGGCCGCCACCCCCUGCUCCAUCAGGUGCUGGAAUCUGAGUAAAAGCCUGGGCGCGAGCUCCCAGCCCCGGGGCCUGCCACCGGCUCCACGAAGCGGGCAGCUCCAGCGGCCGCCGGGAGAAGGAAGGGCGACCGGGGGAGACGGGUCGCAGGGACAGCACGUGGCGGAAAGUUAGCCCCGGACUAGCACGCCCCACCCGGAGAAGCCGGCCUGGAAGGGGCUGCGGACCACCAGGCGGAGCGGUGGGCGACCGAAGUGCGGCUGGGCUGGCCUCCUCGUCUCCGCACUGGAAGAAUUGCCCUUCCGCAAGUCUUCCCUUCCCACAUGGGGGCCCUCCAGGCCGCACCUCGGUCGCCCACCGCUUCCCUUGAGAAGGGAGACUAAAGACAGGCAUCUGGAAGCUGUCACUGUGGCGCGCGGGCAGACAGGGGAUCCCAUUGGAGAGGAAGAGCCGUAGUAGUCGCUGCUGCCUUCGGCCGACCCAACGGCCGCCUGCUUGGGAGGAAGAAAAAGAACGCCCCCGCUGAAGAAUUAAGGCAGCCAUUGGUUGCUCUAGGGGGUUACAAGAUGGGCAGUACAAUAGAGGAUGGACUGGAGUUGGAAAAGACUAAAGCAGCAAGUUUGAUAAGGAGGCUACAGCAAUAGUCCAGGUGAAAGACGCAAGAGCCCAAAAUGCAGCAGUGGCCAAGGGAAUGGAUCUGAGAUAAAGUUCAGAAGAUAGAGUUGGCAGGGCAGGUGAGUUUAUCUUUAAUCCAGGAGAAGAGAAGAAGGCCACAUGAAGAUGGAGCAAGAGAUUGGAGUGAUGUGGCCACAAGCCAAGGAAGCUGAGGAAUGAAGACAGCUAUCAGAAGCUGGAAGAGGAAAAGAAUUCUCUCUUGGGGUCUGCAGAGGGAGAACAGCCCUGCCAACACUUCCAUUUCCAAUGUCUGGACUCUAGAACUGUGAGAAAAUAAAUUCCCAUUAUUUUAAGGAACACAGUUUGUGAUACUGCAUUACAGCAGCUCCAUGAAACAAAUACAUUUUGUUAUUCCAAGUCCUCUUCACAACAAAGUCUUUGCUAGUGGUGAACCAAACACAGUCCCACCAUCAUGAGCCACUGUUCUGGAUGAGGGGGCAACACAGUUCAGACACUGGUCAUCUCUAUUUAAUGUCUAAUGGGCAUCUCAAACCUAACUUUCUCCCAGUGGAAAUGCCUGGAGGUACGUGGAGAUGGAAAGCUGACCUAGCCAAGGAGUUCAGCAAAGAUCCCUGGGAGGAGGUGACAUCUGGACAUCUGCACAGAAUAAUGAGGCUGGGCUAAGGCAGUGACUGAGGGAGGCACUCUUUUUUGGUUUUUCUUUUCUUUUCUUUUGUGUAGGAAGGAAAGAAUAGCCAGGAGAGAUAGAGGAGAAAGAGGAUAAAGAUAGACAGGAAAGAGGUAACACAAGAAGUCAGGACCUGCGCUUGAGGGGCAGAAGUCAAGUCGGGCUAAGGUGAGAAGGCAGAACAGGGUUCAGGGUCUUUGAAGAGAAACAAGUACAGAGCUGGAACUAAGUGAUGCUGACUCCAGACUAAAACCCUCUGGGUUUGAAUCCUGCCUCUGCCACUUACUUAUUCAUUACAAAAUAGCGAGAAAUUACAUUAUCUGGAUCUUGGUCUCUUCAACUAUAAAACAAAAAUAAUAAUAGCUCCUAUCUCAUAGGAUGCUAUUAGGAGUACUAAGUAUAUUAACACCUGUAAAGCACUUGGCUCAAUGUCUGGCACUGCAUAUGCAAUAAAUGUCAUUAUUACUAUUAACAUUAUUAGAAGAAGCAGCAAAUUUAAAAUCAGAAUGUGAGCACUGGAAAGGACUUCAGAAUCAACUAAUCUAAUUCCCCCAUUGUACAAAUGAACAGACUGAGGCCCAGAGAGGUUUGAAAUUGGCCAAAUUUAAGGAGAUAGGAACAGAGCCGAGAUGACAAAAUUGCUUGAAAGUCUGUGCUUUUUCUAGGUGAACUAUACAUAUAUAUUUGGGAAUCAUAAGAAUAUAAGCAGUGAUUGAAUCUGAGGAAAUAGAGUUACUCAGGAAGAACACAAGAAUUAGUACAGAAUGCUGAAAGAAGAAUGAAAAUAGAUUUGAAGUCAACUUGAUUCAAAUAUCCCAAUGUAAUGGUAUUAGGAAGUGGUGCCUUUUUGAGGUAAUUGGGUCAUGAGGGUGGAGUCCUCAUGAGUGGGAUUAGGGCCCUUAUAAGGGGCUGAAGAGACCAGAGUUUUCCCUUCCACCAACUGAAGACUCAUAUAGAAGGUACUAUUUAUGAACCAGAGGGUAGGUCCUCAGCAGACACCAAAUCUGCUGCAACCUUGAUCUUGGACUUCCCAGUCUCCAGAAAUGUGAGAAACAAAUUUCUAUUGUUUAAAAGCCACCCAGUUUAUAGUAUUUUGUUAUAGCAGCCUGAAUGGGCUAAGACACCAUUAAACUUUGAAACUUGGUUUUUCCACAUGUAAAAUCAGGAUACACGUAGAAAACCUGCUGAUGCCUUUAAAAAAUUUUAAACCCAUAUGUUCUAAAGUUGGUAACAGAGGAAGACUUUCCACAAGAUGGAGGAAAGUCUUUUACUCCAGAUCUUAAAAUUAACCUUACUCUUGGGGUAUAAGGUUACUCACACUAAUGUCUGCUGGAGCCACAAUCAGCAAACUGGCUUUAGGGGUACAAAGCAUGGAUUUUACAGUUUCUCUCAUUGCCAUAGUAUGGUUGAGACAGCUUAUAAUAUUUAUGCAAGAUACUACUAAAGAUGGACCCCUCAUGUUGGAGCUGGACAUAGGACUUUUUUCUUCUCUUUCUAGAUUUCUUCCAUAGAUACAUUCAUCUAAUCCCAUAGCUUUAAAAUACCACCUCAAAGCCAAAGACUCAAAUUUAUACCUCUAGCUCUGACCUACUCCUGAGCUCCAGACUUAUAUGUCCAAUUGCUUGCUCUAGAUUAUUACUUAGAUAUCUAAUGGUCAUUCAAAUAUAACAUUUCCAAAAUGGGAUGCUUGACUUCCUGCUCCCAAACCAGUUCUUCCUGCAAUAUUCUCAAUCUUGGUAAACUUAUAUCCAAUUGAUAUAGUUUGGAUAUCUGUACCCACCCAAAUCUCAGGUUGAAUUGUAAUCCCCAGUGCUGGAG
rnacentral:lncRNA from 1 species